AGCAGCCGCGGUAAUUCCAGCUCCAAUAGCGUAUAUUAAAGUUGUUGCAGUUAAAAAGCUCGUAGUUGAAUUUCGGGAUUCAUCCGUUGGUCGGGCUUCACGGUCCGUACUGGUGUGAUGGGUUCCUACCUUCUGAAUAACCGGCAUGCCAUUAAAUUUGGUGCGCCGGGGAAGCAGAACUAUUACCUUGAAAAAUUAGAGUGCUUAAAGCAGGCAAGUGCCUGAAUAGGUUAGCAUGGAAUAAUAAAAUAGGACGGCAUGGUUCUAUUUUGUUGGUUUCUAGGAUCACCGUAAUGAUUAAUAGGGAUAGUUGGGGGCAUUAGUAUUCAAUUGUCAGAGGUGAAAUUCUUGGAUUUAUUGAAGACUAACUUCUGCGAAAGCAUUUGCCAAGGAUGUUUUCAUUAAUCAAGAACGAAAGUUAGGGGAUCGAAGACGAUCAGAUACCGUCGUAGUCUUAACCAUAAACUAUGCCGACUAGGGGUCGACGAUGUUAAUUUUUAAUGACUCGUUCGGCGCCUUA
rnacentral:rRNA from 1 species